GCUAGUAAUCGCAGAUCAGAAUGCUGCGGUGAAUACGUUCCCGGGUCUUGUACACACCGCCCGUCACACCAUGGGGAGCCGGGAAUGCCCGAAGUCGGUGACCCAACCGGUAAGGAGGGAGCCGCCGAAGGCAGGCCUGGUAACUGGGGUGAAGUCGUAACAAGGUAGC
rnacentral:rRNA from 1 species